UGGGGAAUCUUGGACAAUGGGCGAAAGCCUGAUCCAGCCAUGCCGCGUGAAUGAUGAAGGCCCUAGGGUUGUAAAAUUCUUUCGACGGGGAAGAUAAUGACGGUACCCGUAGAAGAAGCUCCGGCUAACUUCGUGCCAGCAGCCGCGGUAAUACGAAGGGGGCUAGCGUUGUUCGGAAUUACUGGGCGUAAAGCGCACGUAGGCGGAUCGAUAAGUAAGGGGUGAAAUCCCAGAGCUCAACUCUGGAACUGCCUUUUAAACUGUCGAUCUGGAGCAGAGUAGAGGUGAGUGGAAUUCCGAGUGUAGAGGUGAAAUUCGUAGAUAUUCGGAGGAACACCAGUGGCGAAGGCGGCUCACUGGACUCUUGCUGACGCUGAGGUGCGAAAGCGUGGGGAGCAAACAGG
rnacentral:rRNA from 1 species